UGGAAACUAUUGCUUCUAUUUAAGAUAAGGAAUCCUUUAAUCAUAAUCUGUUUUUCAUUAGGACACUUGACUGGUUACUCGCCGCAGCAGUUUCUGGAUGAAAGGUGUCGAGCUCGUCAAGUACUAAGCUUUACACCCCCAGCAGCAAAUUUACCCUGGCAGCAUAUGGGUGAAAACGCUGGAGGAGAAAGUCAUCGCUCUGUAAUUGGCCCUUGGACUCCCCUGGCAUCUCGUGUACAGCAUGAAGUUUUCAGCUAUGAAGAUUUCCAGAGACUCCAGAAUAAAAAACAAGCCGUGAUGGAUGAGAACCAAGCCCUUAGGGAGGAGAACCAAGCUCUGAGGGAGGAGAACCAAGCUCUGAGAGAAAGCACUGCACGAGCAGCUUCGGAUGACAGCGGCUCAGAGAGCUCACUUUAAGAGCAGGUGAAGCAAGUUGGGACAAUGUUGAAGACGUUUGCUCGCACUGGGCAAUCAGGUGCAGAUCAGACCUUAAUGCUGCGACGUCUUGGAGAGUUUGGCGAUGUUGUGCGUAGCAUGGACAACAAAAUGGACACUAUGCUGCAACAUUUCAGUGCCAAUGUGUCUGUUGGAGAGUUAUCCCUGCCAGGGGAUCUGUUACUCCCCCUAGACACCCAGGAAGAUUCGGCGUUGCUUGACAACAGUUUGAGGCAGGAUAAUGAGCUCCAGGAACGAUUUCUUCGGUUUUUGGCAAUCAAAUGUGGGAGGGACCUAAAGACAACCGUCUGGCGGAUGUUUCAAAGUAUCUUUUCUAAUCACCUUUCCAUCAAUACAACCUGGACUGGAGUUGGGGAUAAAGCAUGUUUUAGAGACAUGUUCCUUAAGACCAUUGUUCAAAGAGCCAUCCGGAAGAACCCGGCAACCCAGGAUGCCACUGAUGAAGCCGUCCAGGUUAACAUUACCGUGUUACCUGAAAGGAGCAUCUGACUGUGAAGGCGGAAAAAGGCGUCGCACAGCUGAGAGGGACCCACAGCCGACCCCUUAAACCUAGGCUGACUACUGACACCCCAGCAUCACUGACAACUGGAACCCUUUCUUUAUCCUGCAGUCAGUAACAUCAAGACCCCUAAAGAAGCCAGAAGUGUCAGACUGCACUCACCCAAUCCACACUGUUCACUUUAUAUAUUAUCAUAGUGCUUAACUCUUAUUAUAUUGUUAAAUAUAGCUUAUAAAUCCUUGUGCCACAGGUCAGCAUUGCAGGUAUGUCUGUUCUACUACUGUUUUUACCUCAGUAUUUUUUAUAUAUAUAUGUGAAGAUGUUUAUCACAGAUACAAGAGACAUCUUGUACCCCAGGUCAGCAAUGCCAUUAUAAUGGUCUAUUCUACUCCAGAGCUUUAUUCUAAAUUAUUACCACUUAUCUUAUUGUUAGAAAUGGCUUGUAAAUGUGAUGUUAUAACUGAAUUUUUUUUGUUGUCCUGCACAUUCUUUGGUACCAGAUAUACUCAUUACUUAUGUUUACUGGUAAUUCUUUUCAUCCCAGAGCUGACCUCUUUAUAUUAUUAACAAUUAUUGUAAGUGUUAUAAUUUGCUUGUAAGCUAAGGCUGUUUUUUUGACAAUUUAAUAGGAAACCUGCAUGUUCUUUUGUGUGUGUGUGUGUGUGUGUGUGUGUAUAUAUAUAUAUUUUUUCUUUUUUUUCUGUUAUUUAUAUUUCAGUGAUCUGACAUCAUGUUUCAAUGACAGUUACUGUACUUUGAAAUGUGGAAUUAAAACUUCAAAUGGAAA